rnacentral:lncRNA from 1 species
AGUUAUUAAGUAAUUACUUUUGUGUGUUGUGUUACACAAUGGUGCAUCUACUUCAGUGGUUAAGUGUUCUGGGAGUGUCUGAGAAGUUUUGGGUUCAAGCCUUCGCUUGUACAAAGUUUUGAUUUUAAGUAAUAAAGCCAUUCUUUUAGUUAGUAGGCUUAUAAACUGAUGUAAGUGUUGCAUGACAGAAAAGGCCUACUGCUCAAAAGGUAAGUGGCGUAUCAUUCCUACUAAAAGUCUUGAGUUUAAG